CAGACUGUGUAGAAAAUACUAAAAAUAUAUGUGUUUGGUCCUGGCAAUCCCAAAUGGCAACUUUAUCGAGAACAAAGGAGAUAGCAGGGCAGCUCAAAUAACUCAUGAAGAGAGAGAGGAUGCUGCUCUUGGGGCUCUGUUGCCCUACUGAAGAACAUUAUUACUGGAUUAUUGAUUUACAGCACAAAAUGGAUGGAACAUAAGUAGGGUUAAGCUCAUUAAUCCCUCUCCCGCCUCUUUUAUGAAAAUGGACUUGUUAUCAGUGAUUAUUCUAAUGGAUUGUUAUGAUUGAACACUUUUCGUCGCGUGCGCCGGCUGCCUUACAAAAUCACAGAGCACAGGGACAACAGAGGGUGAUGAUUGGGGAUGUGCAGACAGGAUGAAGGAGGCAGGCAUGAGGCUCACAACAGAGGUAUCUGCUAAAGUGAAGGCACCAAAAUAAAAGCUCAAAACACAGACGGUGGAAUUGCUGACAUUCUGGUGACAUUUGGUGCGUCACUGGCAUUUGGCAAGACAUACGAGCAGGUAGCUCAGCUCUCAUCUCUCCCAGCAUAAGAUGGGACCACUCACACCCCCUAAGAUAUUCAAGCUGCUGCAGUGGGGGAGUGCUCCAAUGGAGCGCGGCGGGUCCGACGAUUGUCCUCAUAAAUUGUGUGUGUGUCGGGGUGCAGAGGGGCUAAGUGAGCAGUAAAUAACAAAGGGUCCCGCCGCCAUCCGUUCACCAUCGCCACAUUUCCGGCCACGCAAGAUUACCCAGGAUGCCCCUGGAGGGGCGUCUUCUUCCUCUGUGUGAUGAAUGGACAAGAGGAGGGAGGAACAUGCCUUUGCCACCCAGCCUCUGACAGAGAAAAGUGUCAGCCUUCCCUCCACCCUCCCACUGCUGACUUGGGCAUCAGUGCAGAGAGCUUUUUAUGGCCCCUUGAUUUUCCGAGGGAGUGGGUGGGAUUUAAUAUAUGGUGGAGGAGGCAGAAGGAGGAGGUGAAACCUGCGCGGCUUUCUGCCUGCCCUUAACGCUUCCCCUGGCUCCGGAGCAGGAGUCUUGGAAAUAAUGCUGGACACUGAUACUAUCUGGCUGUACUAUGUAACUGCUGGGACAUGACAAUACUGCGUGAUGAAAUGCUCACUAGAGAUGUGCAAAUAAUCAGGAGUUGUGUUUCGUGGAAGGCAGAGAGCAUGAUGAAAGGUGCAGUUUGUGUGAGUGGCCACACCUUAGGGAAAGACAAAAAUGUGAACAUCUCAACCAGGUGCAGGACCAAAAUAUGAAAAGGGAAGGAUUGCACUAAGAAUGUCACCCCUGGGUAAAUGUUAAUGUAUUUUUACACCUUGCCGGCGCAGUCUAGACGUUACAUAUUAAGCCUGAAUAAAGUCAUCGCACGGUACAAAGUCA